rnacentral:rRNA from 1 species
ACUCAAAUGAAUUGACGGGGACCCGCACAAGCAGCGGAGCAUGUGGUUUAAUUCGAAGCAACGCGAAGAACCUUACCAGGGCUUGACAUCCCGAUGACUGGUAUAGAGAUAUACCUUCUCUUCGGAGCAUCGGUGACAGGUGGUGCAUGGUUGUCGUCAGCUCGUGUCGUGAGAUGUUGGGUUAAGUCCCGCAACGAGCGCAACCCCUAUUUUUAGUUGCCAGCAUUUAGGAUGGGCACUCUAAAGAGACUGCCGGGGAUAACUCGGAGGAAGGUGGGGACGACGUCAAAUCAUCAUGCCCCUUAUGUCCUGGGCUACACACGUGCUACAAUGGCCGGAAACAAAGGGCAGCUAAGCCGCGAGGUGGAGCUAAUCCCAUAAAGCCGGUCCCAGUUCGGAUUGUGGGCUGCAACUCGCCCACAUGAAGUCGGAGUUGCUAGUAAUCGCGAAUCAGCAUGUCGCGGUGAAUGCGUUCCCGGGUCUUGUACACACCGCCCGU